rnacentral:rRNA from 1 species
UUCGACCUCAAAUCAG